AUCAGAACAGUAGAGAUAGAUUUCAAUGAUGAGAAGUGGGUGUGGGUCUCGGAUUCUGCAAAAGAUCUGGUGAAGAAAAUGCUGAACAAGGAUGUUUCUCAACGAUUAACUGCAGAAGAAGUUCUAAGUCAUCCAUGGUUACAAGAAGAGGAAAGCGUAAUUGACUCCUUAGCCCAGGAAAUAUUGGGCUUGUGUCUUUGAAGGCACAUACAUGUUGAGGUCUCUUUUGAGAACACUGGUAAAUUUUAAAUUUUAAAUUUGAAGUUUUUAAUUUUUGAAUUAGAAGUUUUUAAACAUUGAUUGAGUCAUGAUUUCACAUAUCACACCUAGCUUACAUUUCUAAAAGUUUUAGUAUGAUACUGAAUUGUUAACUUGAUGAUUAUUGAGAAUGAUAGGAACCAAACC